UGCGGGCAGCGCAGCCUGAUGACGUCACGGACAGCGCCGCGCCUCGGUCCUCCCCCGGCCGGGUCCCGGCCCCGGGAAAGGCAGCUGAGGUUUGGCCCGCUCCACCUCUCAACCUGGGAGGUCCAGGGGCGCCUGCGCGGAAAAGCCGCCCGGAAAAGGCUGCAAAAGCAAAAACUAAGAACAAGUUCAGAGAGGUAGAUGGUAAACUGGUUGAGCGAACGCAGUGUUCUUGUUCCCUGCUGUAUCCCCAACAUCCAGCCUAUGGGACAUCUCAACAGAUUUUGAACGAAGGACGGGAGGACAGAAGGAAUGCCGCCUGUAGCAUCUUACCAUAUGGGCACAGUUGGCUCUCCAUCUCAAACCUCUCUUCUGAUUUUCAGGCCAAUAUGGCCAAACGUCUGUUGGACAUCCUCACUCAGUCACCUCAAACCCCAUGAAUUCAAAUUUCACCUUAUGUUCUUCCAUCAGCUCACUUUUUUCCUGGUGAAGGGCGCUGCCAUCCAUCCUGUUGGUCCAGCUAGAAAUCUGAGGAAUCUCCCUCUUCUUCAUACCCCAAAGUUUCUCAUACACUUAAUUGCGCUUACCUCCUAAUUGUCUUUCAAAUCCAUCCAUUCACCCCCAUCCCCAUUGCCACAAUUCAUGCACUUACCCCCUCUCGGCAGAAUUUCUCCAGUAACUCCAAACUCCCGUGACUGUCUCCAGUUGUGAUCCCUCUAAUGCGUUCUUCACAAAACCAAAGUGAUUUUUAUAAUUUUCAACACCUGUGAAAAGAAGGGAAUUUAAAAUUGAUUAAUUAAACCUGAUCCUGUCACAACCCAACAAUGAUUAAAAUCCAUCAAUGAUGUCCCAUUGCUCUUAGAAUAAAGCUAAUGUCCUUAAAA